rnacentral:rRNA from 1 species
UUCGUAGGCGGUUAGGUAAGUUUGAUGUGAAAUCUCAGGGCUCAACCCUGAAACUGCAUUGGAUACUGCCUGACUUGAGUCCUGGAGAGGUAAGCGGAAUUCCUGGUGUAGCGGUGGAAUGCGUAGAUAUCAGGAGGAACACCGACGGCGAAGGCAGCUUACUGGACAGGUACUGACGCUGAGGAACGAAAGCUAGGGUAGCAAACA